rnacentral:pre_miRNA from 1 species
AAAGGGAUAGCUGGGUCAAAUGGUGGUUCUAUUUCCAGAUUUCCAAGGAAUCUCCAUACUGCUUUCCAUAUUGGCUGCACCAAUUUGCAGUCCCACCAGCAAU